AAAACGAAUUUCACGGUUAACAUGCUGAAACACGUAUUUACAUCAUGCAAAUAUAGAGAUGUAGAGUCGUAAUGAUUUCGUCCAUAUUUAAUAUUUCACGAUCGUUAAGGAUGGUCAAGGAAGCUGGGGAAAAAUCGAUGUACGCUACCCCUUCGCGUGGCGUGCACGCCAGCUACCACAUACACAUAUAUUAUACACGCGAGGAAUUAGAGCCGGGCACUGAAAUUAUCCCUGUCGCCUGUCGUCCGCGAUAUCCUCGCUACGACCGGGUCGCUCCCACGACUGGGAAAGACACGAUGCGAAGCGCGAGAAACUUCGCGAGAAAUAAAAGCCAUCGUCGAAAAAAGGGAAAAAAACAAAACCAUACGUGAUUGUCCCAGACGAAUGUGAUCUCGUCGCUCUUGUUGUAUUGGGGCAUCGUGUCGAGCAUCUUUUGCUGAGCGAUCGACG